UCUAGAACCCGAGAUAUGGACUGAACACUGAACAGUAUCUGGGAUGCAGGACAGAUUCAAACUUCUCUUUUGAUGCUAAGAUUUGGACUUCAAAACGGCAGAAUUGAGUCUUAGACUCUUCAUGAAUGUUUUAGGCCUAUGUCUUAGCUUUCUAGC
rfam:Populus trichocarpa scaffold_28_contig_13, whole genome shotgun sequence.